GAGUUUGAUCUUGGCUCAGGACGAACGCUGGCGGCGUGCUUAACACAUGCAAGUCGAACGAGAAUCUACUGAAAGAGUUUUCGGACAAUGGAAGUAGAGGAAAGUGGCGGACGGGUGAGUAACGCGUGAGGAACCUGCCUUGAAGAGGGGGACAACAGUUGGAAACGACUGCUAAUACCGCAUGAUGCAUAAGGGUCGCAUGAUUCUUAUGCCAAAGAUUUAUCGCUUCAAGAUGGCCUCGCGUCUGAUUAGCUAGUUGGCGGGGUAACGGCCCACCAAGGCGACGAUCAGUAGCCGGACUGAGAGGUUGAACGGCCACAUUGGGACUGAGAUACGGCCCAGACUCCUACGGGAGGCAGCAGUGGGGAAUAUUGGGCAAUGGGCGCAAGCCUGACCCAGCAACGCCGCGUGAAGGAGAAGGCUUUCGGUAUGUAAACUUCUAUCAGCAGGGAAGAAAAUGACGGUACCUGACUAAGAAGCCCGGCUAACUACGUGCCAGCCGCCGCGGUAAC
rnacentral:rRNA from 1 species